rnacentral:misc_RNA from 1 species
GAAAUGCGAUAAGUAAUGUGAAUUACAGAAUUCAGUGAAUCAUCGAAUCUUUGAACGCACAUUGCGCCCGCCAGUAUUCUGGCGGGCAUGCCUGUCCGAGCGUCAUUUCAACCAUCAAGCCCCCGGGCUUGUGUUGGGGACCUGCGGCUGCCCGCAGGCCCUGAAAACCAGUGUCGGGCUCGCUGUCACACCGAGCGUAGUAGCAAUCACCUCGCUCAGGGCGUGCUGCGGGUUCCGGCCGUUAAACAGCCUUACAAAACCCAAGGUUGACCUCGGAUCAGGUAGGAAGACCCGCUGAACUUAAGC